rnacentral:rRNA from 1 species
AGCAACAAAUGCCCUGCUUCCAGGAAAAGCCUCUAAGCAUCAGGUAACAUCAAAUCGUACCCCAAACCGACACAGGUGGUCAGGUAGAGAAUACCAAGGCGCUUGAGAGAACUCGGGUGAAGGAACUAGGCAAAAUGGUGCCGUAACUUCGGGAGAAGGCACGCUGACACGUAGGUGAAGUGAUUUACUCACGGAGCUGAAGUCAGUCGAAGAUACCAGCUGGCUGCAACUGUUUAUUAAAAACACAGCACUGUGCAAACACGAAAGUGGACGUAUACGGUGUGACGCCUGCCCGGUGCCGGAAGGUUAAUUGAUGGGGUCAGCGCAAGCGAAGCUCCUGAUCGAAGCCCCGGUAAACGGCGGCCGUAACUAUAACGGUCCUAAGGUAGCGAAAUUCCUUGUCGGGUAAGUUCCGACCUGCACGAAUGGCGUAAUGAUGGCCAGGCUGUCUCCACCCGAGACUCAGUGAAAUUGAACUCGCUGUGAAGAUGCAGUGUACCCGCGGCAAGACGGAAAGACCCCGUGAACCUUUACUAUAGCUUGACACUGAACAUUGAGCCUUGAUGUGUAGGAUAGGUGGGAGGCUUUGAAGCGUGGACGCCAGUCUGCGUGGAGCCGACCUUGAAAUACCACCCUUUAAUGUUUGAUGUUCUAACGUGGACCCGUAAUCCGGGUUGCGGACAGUGUCUGGUGGGUAGUUUGACUGGGGCGGUCUCCUCCUAAAGAGUAACGGAGGAGCACGAAGGUUGGCUAAUCCUGGUCGGACAUCAGGAGGUUAGUGCAAUGGCAUAAGCCAGCUUGACUGCGAGCGUGACGGCGCGAGCAGGUGCGAAAGCAGGUCAUAGUGAUCCGGUGGUUCUGAAUGGAAGGGCCAUCGCUCAACGGAUAAAAGGUACUCCGGGGAUAACAGGCUGAUACCGCCCAAGAGUUCAUAUCGACGGCGGUGUUUGGCACCUCGAUGUCGGCUCAUCACAUCCUGGGGCUGAAGUAGGUCCCAAGGGUAUGGCUGUUCGCCAUUUAAAGUGGUACGCGAGCUGGGUUUAGAACGUCGUGAGACAGUUCGGUCCCUAUCUGCCGUGGGCGCUGGAGAACUGAGGGGGGCUGCUCCUAGUACGAGAGGACCGGAGUGGACGCAUCACUGGUGUUCGGGUUGUCAUGCCAAUGGCACUGCCCGGUAGCUAAAUGCGGAAGAGAUAAGUGCUGAAAGCAUCUAAGCACGAAACUUGCCCCGAGAUGAGUUCUCCCUGAGACUUAGAGUCUCCUGAAGGAACGUUGAAGACGACGACGUUGAUAGGCCGGGUGUGUAAGCGCAGCGAUGCGUUGAGCUAACCGGUACUAAUGAACCGUGAGGCUUAACCUUAC